GACAGAGGGUGCAAACGUUGUUCGGAAUUACUGGGCGUAAAGCGUGUGUAGGCGGCCAAGCAAGUCGGAUGUGAAAGCCCAGGGCUCAACCCUGGAAGUGCACUCGAUACUGCAUGGCUAGAGUGUCGGAGAGGUUGGUGGAAUUCCAGGUGUAGUGGUGAAAUACGUAGAUAUCUGGAGGAACACCGGUGGCGAAGGCGGCUAACUGGCCCAACAUUGACGCUGAGACCCGAAAGCAUGGGGAUCAAACAGG
rnacentral:rRNA from 1 species